CAGUAGCCACGGUAAUACGUAGGUGGCAAGCGUUGUCCGGAAUUAUUGGGCGUAAAGCGCGCGCAGGCGGAUAGGUCAGUCUGUCUUAAAAGUUCGGGGUUUAACCCCGUGAUGGGAUGGAAACUGCCAAUCUAGAGUAUCGGAGAGGAAAGUGGAAUUCCUAGUGUAGCGGUGAAAUGCGUAGAUAUUAGGAAGAACACCAGUGGCGAAGGCGACUUUCUGGACGAAAACUGACGCUGAGGCGCGAAAGCCAGGGGAGCGAACGGGAUUAGAUACCCGUGUAGUCCCUGUCUCUUAUACA
rnacentral:rRNA from 1 species